CCUACGGGGGACAGCAGUGAGGAAUAUUGGUCAAUGGGCGCGAGCCUGAACCAGCCAAGUCGCGUGAGGGAAGACGGUCCUAUGGAUUGUAAACCUCUUUUGUCGGGGAGCAAAAGACGCCACGCGUGGCGUUCCGAGAGUACCCGAAGAAAAAGCAUCGGCUAACUCCGUUCCAUCAGCCGCGGUAAUACGGAGGAUGCGAGCGUUAUCCGGAUUGAUUGGGUUAAACGGGUGCGCAGGCGGAAGAUCAAGUCAGUGGUAAAAUUGAGAGGCUCAACCUCUUCGAGCCGUUGAAACUGGUUUUCUUGAGUGAGUGAGAAGUAUGCGGAAUGCGUGGUGUAGCGGUGAAAUGCAUAGAUAUCACGCAGAACACCGAUUGCGAAGGCAGCAUACCGGCGCUCAACUGACGCUCAUGCACGAAAGUGUGGGUAUCGAACAGGAUUAGAUACCCGAGUAGUC
rnacentral:rRNA from 1 species